GACAGAGGAUGCAAGCGUUAUCCGGAAUGAUUGGGCGUAAAGCGUCUGUAGGUGGCUUUUUAAGUUCGCCGUCAAAUCCCAGGGCUCAACCCUGGACAGGCGGUGGAAACUACCAAGCUGGAGUACGGUAGGGGCAGAGGGAAUUUCCGGUGGAGCGGUGAAAUGCGUAGAGAUGUGGAGGAACACCGAUGGCGAAGGCAGCCCCCUGGGCUAACACUGACGCUCAGGCACGAAAGCGUGGGGAGCAAACAGG
rnacentral:rRNA from 1 species